AGGCCAGGCACUACUCUGUCCCAACAAUAAGCCCUGUACAUUGGGAAAGGUGCCGAGACAUGAACUUUGGUCUUCUCUGCAAUCCAUCUGGAGCAUUCACUGACAACAUCGACUUUGAAGUUGCACUGACCUGGCCAGCCCUGCCACUUACCAGGUUGGAUAACACUAACAAAGUUGACCUUAGAAUUGGAGUGCCUGGGUUAGAACCCUGCUGGUACCACCUGCUUACUGCAUGCUUCUGAUGUGAGUUCAGGAGAAGACACUGGCAAGGACAGCAAAGAACAGGAGAACACUCUAGCUUCCCUGAUAGCAUUCAAGGUGCUGUCCAAAGCUCUUGAGUUUCUGCUUUCAAGUGACCCUCAGAAAUUCCUCCAUUCACUGCAGAGGUUCUGUUUCUCCUUGCUUUGUUCUGACUUUACGGCAGAACUAAGCUAAUGAGUUAGUUACUAUGGGUUAUCACUUGGAUUUGAAGAACCAUCAUUUCUAGGCAUUGCUGCUCAGAGUGGGUCUGCCCUCAGGGGAAGCUGUCUAACCAGAGCCUAACCCACUAGGGUUUUAUCAGAACCUAACUGACCUGAGGAAAAGAAAUACUCAACUCCAGCAAGCUCCAGCCUUCCAAAUGGAGGAGGAGAAAACCCAACUCCAGCCCACUUCAGCUAUCUUGUCCCACAUAAAGGGGAAGUGGAAGAAACCUGAGAAGCAGGCAUGAAGUUCACAGUCCAGAGGUACAGACACAUCAGAGUUCAGUAUCUGAUGAAUUAGAUGCAAAAACCUCAACAAAGUAUUAGCAAAUUGAAUUCAACAAUGUAUGAAAAUUAUUACAUGCCAUGACUAAUUGGAAUUUAUCUCAGGUAUACAAGCCACGCUGAACAUCUGAAAAUCAAUUCAUGUGAUCCAUCACAUUAGCAGACUCAA
ensembl:lncRNA CASC19 cancer susceptibility 19